UCAAACUUGGUCAUUUAGAGGAAGUAAAAGUCGUAACAAGGUCUCCGUUGGUGAACCAGCGGAGGGAUCAUUACAGGAAUUAUGCACUUGCGCCCCAGUGGCAAAAGAGCAAUAAACCCCAGUGAACUACACCUUCUCAGAGGCGUCCCAGGUUGCGCCGGCUAGUGCUCCCUAACCACGCUCCUCCCUUCUGGGGAGGGAAACGAGUUAGUGGAGGGCUGCCGGGGCUCUGGGCGCACCCACUAAAAAAACACCUAGCCUCCGUAAGGAUACUUCUGAUUUUCAUGAGAUAAAUAGCUGAAAACUUUCAACAACGGAUCUCUUGGCUCCAGCAUCGAUGAAGAACGCAGC
rnacentral:misc_RNA from 1 species